UUCACCGUCUUUCAUCGCUUUACGCGAGGAGUUGAAAGUUCAGCUUCUCUUGGUGAAAAAUUCGCUUAAUUUCGGUUUAAACCGAGAAAAAUUGGUGCCACAAGAGUAGUAGACAUUGAUGACUGUCACUGGAACUACGACAUCUGCUCCAUGAUUAAAAAUGUUUGGUUUCUGUAUGGGUUUGGAGGAAGUAAUGGCGAGGUCUGUUGAAGCGUACAAGGACAACUACUAUGAGGUUUUAGACAUCGCGAAAAAGAAAACGAGGAAUAUUUGGAUCAAGAAGUAUCGAAAUCUGACAAUGUGGACAGAACAAGACGUUGCGAUAGACAAAGAACUCUGAUGCCAUCGGAAUACAAUCAACCAAGACCGUCUCUGACAAAAACACACUUGUAGGAUGACCGUGAUGUUUCAGUUCAAGACUUAAUCAAGGAAAGACAACGAUUCAAGCGAAAGACAAGUUUACAGUAUAGGUAGAAAACAAAGUUAUCUAGUCUCUCCUUAAGGCAAGCUUAUUCGAAACGAAUUGCAGCUAAGAUUUUCUAAGUUACUUUUCCAAAUUUACCCGCGAACGGUAACAAUCUUGAAGAGAACUGAGCAAUCAGAAACUUAUUGACAAGAUUUCAUUUUGAUAGUUUCAGCUGACGUGUAUCCUUAGUAACCCCUGGUCAAAAUCUAUAUAAAAACUUGGAAAAAUACGGGUGCCUUGAAUACGUAUGCGGCAUUUUUUUUUAUCAACUCUGUAAGUAUCAUCCCUUCAAAUAGUUUCAAUUUUCCCGCCAAAAAACUUAAAAAAAAAAAAAAAACGGCGCAUGCGUAUUUUGGGCGCCCGUAUUUUUCUAAGUAAUUUGUAAUAAGUGGAGUUGUCUUUUAUUUCAUCUAUAUCUUGUUGUAAAUAAAAUUCAUUAAACACAG